ensembl:misc_RNA Gm23959 predicted gene, 23959
GGAUAUGAGGAGGAUCUGACUGUGUAUGACAUCUGUCACCCAGGGUUGGUCUGAGUGAUCUGGCUGGCUAUACAAGUGUCCCCUUCCUCCCUCACUGAUCCACAUAUGUCCUUCCGAAAGCUGCAAUACUAAAUGGAAGAGGGCAACCUUCCCUAUUGGGAAAGGCAGGAGGAUGGAUCUUUGGUCAAAGGUAGUUGUACUCCCCUGCUAGAGCCUCCAAGCAAGAUCUUAAGAAGCUGGGACAAGUCUCUUGUAGUCACAGUUUGAACAACUAGUAAGUCUCAAUGACCUUAGAAGAGUGGGAAAAGCCUAGGAAUAGAUUUU